rnacentral:rRNA from 1 species
UGCAAGUCGAGUGCGCGUCCGUAGCAAUACGGAUGGCGCACGGCGCACGGGUGCGUAACACGUGGGCAAUCUGCCCUUCGAUGGGGAAUAACUCCGGGAAACCGAAGCUAAUUCCGCAUAACAUUCCCUGGACUUCGGUUCGAGGACUCAAAGCCGUAAGGCGUCGAAGGAGGAGCCCGCGCCCGAUUAGCUAGUUGGUGAGGUAACGGCUCACCAAGGCAAUGAUCGGUAGCUGGUCUGAGAGGAUGGCCAGCCACACUGGAACUGAGACACGGUCCAGACUCCUACGGGAGGCAGCAGUGGGGAAUCUUGCGCAAUGGGCGAAAGCCUGACGCAGCGACGCCGCGUGGGGGAUGAAGCAUUUCGGUGUGUAAACCCCUUUCGACUGGGACGAAUACCUCGCAAGAGGGGUGACGGUACCAGUAGAAGAAGCCCCGGCUAACUACGUGCCAGCAGCCGCGGUAAGACGUAGGGGGCCAGCGUUGUUCGGAAUUACUGGGUGUAAAGGGUUCGUAGGCGGUGUGGCAAGUCGGGAGUGAAAUCUAUGGGCUUAACCCAUAGGCUGCUUCCGAAACUGCCGUGCUUGAGUGUGGGAGAGGCGCGUGGAAUUGCAGGUGUAGCGGUGAAAUGCGUAGAUAUCUGCAGGAACACCCGUGGCGAAAGCGGCGCGCUGGACCACUACUGACGCUGAGGAACGAAAGCUAGGGGAGCAAACAGGAUUAGAUACCCUGGUAGUCCUAGCCCUAAACGAUCAGGACUUGGGGUGCCACCCGUUCGGGUGUCGUCCCGGAGCUAACGCGUUAAGUCCUGCACCUGGGGAGUACGGUCGCAAGACUGAAACUCAAAGGAAUUGACGGGGGCCCGCACAAGCGGGGAACAUGUGGUUCAAUUCGACGCUACGCGA